GAUGAACGCUGGCGGCGUGCCUAAUACAUGCAAGUCGAGCGAACAGACGAGGAGCUUGCUCCUCUGACGUUAGCGGCGGACGGGUGAGUAACACGUGGAUAACCUACCUAUAAGACUGGGAUAACUUCGGGAAACCGGAGCUAAUACCGGAUAAUAUAUUGAACCGCAUGGUUCAAUAGUGAAAGACGGUUUUGCUGUCACUUAUAGAUGGAUCCGCGCCGCAUUAGCUAGUUGGUAAGGUAACGGCUUACCAAGGCGACGAUGCGUAGCCGACCUGAGAGGGUGAUCGGCCACACUGGAACUGAGACACGGUCCAAACUCCUACGGGAGGCAGCAGUAGGGAAUCUUCCGCAAUGGGCGAAAGCCUGACGGAGCAACGCCGCGUGAGUGAUGAAGGUCUUCGGAUCGUAAAACUCUGUUAUUAGGGAAGAACAAAUGUGUAAGUAACUAUGCACGUCUUGACGGUACCUAAUCAGAAAGCCACGGCUAACUACGUG
rnacentral:rRNA from 1 species